rnacentral:rRNA from 1 species
UACAGAGGGGGCAAGCGUUAUUCGGAAUUAUUGGGCGUAAAGGGCGCGUAGGCGGCUUUGCAAGUGGCGGGUGAAAUCCCUCGGCUUAACCGAGGAACUGCCUGUCAAACUGCAUGGCUUGAGACCGGGAGAGGUGAGUGGAAUUCCUGGUGUAGCGGUGAAAUGCGCAGAUAUCAGGAAGAACACCCGUGGCGAAGGCGGCUCUCUGGGACGGUACUGACGCUGAGGCACGAAAGCGUGGGGAGCAAACAGG